UUUUUUUAUGGUUUGAUAAGUUGCUGUCAUAAAUUGUUAGCAAACAUGUAAUGUAUAAACUAUUUCAACAUUGUAUAGUUUUAUUUUGCUUUAUGUAAAUUUUGCAACUUUUAAACAUUUUUUGGGUGAUUUUUAUGGGAUAUGGUUCAUUUUCUUUAUAACAUUUUAAGCUUAAGACGUUUUGAAAACAGUGAACACUGAAUAUUUUCCAUAUUUCUUAAUUCAUCCAAAGUCAACUUUGCCUGAGGAAAUUGGAACCUUAGUUUAUUCAUAUAUUCUUAAUUUGGAGAAUUUUAAAUAAGUAUGUUGUGAAUCAUGCCGUUUGAAGCAGAUUUUUUUUGGAAACACCAUUGCAUUUAUAUAUAUACAUAUGGAAUGGAAUUAUUUUGAUUUAAAAGUAAUUAAUUUUACAUAUGAUGUAUAUAAAAACAAUAAUACUCUGUUACUGAAACAAUCAUUACUUUGCAUUUGAUAACAUACAUGUACAUUUUUUUAUGCUAUUUGUUUUGCAUUUAAUAAUUUACAUUUUUUUCAUGUUAUUUGUAACAUUUCUGAUGGGGAAAAUAUGGAGACUAUGAAUCAGAUAACAUUCUGUCUGUAACACGGGUAUUUAUUUGGGAUAUAUUAUGUAUAUUCUGUUGCUGUAUUACGUUCAAUGUCUGAUGUUUAAUUGUGGCAUUUGAUUAAUUUUUUUAAUGUGAGGGUUCUUGUUAUAACAUGUGUAUAGACAGAUAUCUAAAUGCAUUUAAAAGUAAGUUGGGAGUUUAUUGUUCAAUGUUAUGGACUCUCAUUUAAAAGAUUUCUUUACAAUUUUCUGCUAGCUACUUUAUUUCUUUAGAAAUUUGAACCUCUGAUAUUUGAGAAUGCUUUGUAAAAUCAAUACAAAAGCCAUGUUCUGCAAUGCUUUUUUCUGUGAAUUUAUUCUUGUCAUUUAAAUUUGUUCAUGAAUAUAUGAAAGAAGAAUUCUAUUUUAGAUCAAAUUAUAAAUAAAGUAAAAUGGUGCUGUGAUAUAUAUAUAAUGUUUUGAAGUCUUGGAUGUGUGAUGUUGUUUUUUUAACUUGUUUGUUUAUUAAUACAUAAAUUAUAACUGUAGUGUCUUUUGUAAAAUGAGCAAAAAACAAAUAAGAAUAUAUUACUGUAAAUAAACAACAUCAUAC
rnacentral:lncRNA from 1 species